rnacentral:snRNA from 1 species
AUACUUACCUGGACGGGGUCAAUGGGCGAUCAUCAAGGCCUAUGGCCUAGAUUGAUGACUUCCAUUGCACUUUGGAAGGGUGUCAAUCUAAGGUCUACCUUAAUGGUGGAGCCUACGUCAUAAUUUGUGGCAGAGGGGCCUGCGUUCGCGCGGCCCCUAC